UGAAUGAGGGGUUGAGUGUUUUGGUUCCAAGUAAAGGGCCAGGUUGUCACGGCUAAGAAGGGAGUCAAGGUGCCCGUAAGCCGCCUGCGUCAACUGUAGGAGGGCGGGGGUGAGGGAAAGGAAGGAACGGGCGCGUUCAGAGCACACAGGAAGGGAGGAGAGUCUGGCGGGCGGAGGGGUGCGGCUAUACAAGCGAGGCCUUCAUUGCGCACGAGGCCUGGAGAAGAAUCCGGGCUCUGUGCGCAGACCGCUCCAAUGUGCUUCAUGCAGCAGCACAAACGCGACGCUGUGGGCCGCCGUGAAAGGAGGCUCUCUGCGCAGGCACACGGACACACGUCGGACCUGCGCCAAGGCUCAAGGCUGCCUGCACUACCUUCAAUGGCCCAUCAGCAAAUUGAGACCUAUCACAGCUUCAUGGCACACCCCAAUUACAGCUGUCUGACAACGCAACUGGUCAUAAAACCUCAAGACCCAACACGCAGAUAAAACACAACUUUCCAGGUUAAAGACGGCAGUCGACAGAUCAAAACAAAACUACGCAGUCUCCCUUGGGAGGAAAAAGACAAAGAGGGAGACGUCCCGGAAGGCAGCAUGCUGACACGGACGACUAGCGCACCUCCCAGUGCUCAUUAACAAACAGCUCCCUGCAGACUAUACAGGACAAGGUGACUCAUUGCUUUCCUUAAAUGACAUUUGUGCACGCCACAUGGAUACUUGAACAUGACAAUUGGCUCCGCCAUGAUGACGCGGAUCUUGUGCUCCGACAUGGUGGCGAAGGCGGCGAAGAGGCUCUUCAGGACGUACUC